GAUGAACGCUGACAGAAUGCUUAACACAUGCAAGUCUUUGGCGAAGCUGUGCUUGCACAGCCUAGCCAAGGCGGACGGGUGAGUAACGCGUAAGGGACUUGCCCUGCAGUCAGGGAUAACAGACGGAAACGACUGAUAGGACCUGGUAAAGUCAGGCGGACUCAUGUCCAGCCUGAUGAAAAGGAAUGCUGCAGGAGAGCCUUGCGUCCUAUUAGCUUGUUGGUGGGGUAACGGCCCACCAAGGCGAUGAUAGGUAGCCGGCCUGAGAGGGUGGACGGCCACAAGGGGACUGAGAUACGGCCCUUACUCCUACGGGAGGCAGCAGUGGGGAAUAUUGGACAAUGGGGGCAACCCUGAUCCAGCAAUUCUGUGUGCACGAUGAAGGUCUUCGGAUUGUAAAGUGCUUUCAGCAGGGAAGAAAAAAAUGACGGUACCUGCAGAAGAAGCGACGGCUAAAUACGUGCCAGCAGCCGCGGUAAUACGUAUGUCGCGAGCGUUAUCCGGAAUUAUUGGGCAUAAAGGGCAUCUAGGCGGCCGGAUAAGUCUGGGGUGAAAACUUGCGGCUCAACCGCAAGCCUGCCCUGGAAACUAUGCGGCUAGAGUACUGGAGAGGUGGACGGAACUGCACGAGUAGAGGUGAAAUUCGUAGAUAUGUGCAGGAAUGCCGAUGAUGAAGAUAGUUCACUGGACGGUAACUGACGCUGAAGUGCGAAAGCUAGGGGAGCAAACAGG
rnacentral:rRNA from 1 species